ACGAGAGAAGCAACAGUGGUGGAUCAUAUCUCAAAUUAAUUACUUUUUACCACCCUGCAUGCAUGCCUCGUGCUACACCAAAAUAGAUCAAUCUUUUUUAUAUAUAUAUAUAUAUAUAUAAAGAUUUUUCAUACAUUGGUGCCAAUUCAUUCUCUCUUCUUCUUUCUUUCUUUUUUUUUUCUUUGUUUGUCUUAGAGGUUGAAGCUGCCAGCAUGAUCUGGUUUAGUAUUUACAUGCAUCAAUGAGUGAGAUACAAGGAGAGAAACAGAAAGAGAUGAUCAUAAACAUGAUCAGAUCAUCUUGCAGCUUCAACCACUGACAAACAAAAGAUUGAAAUCAUCGAUGAAAUGUGCAAAGACAAGAAGAGGCAGGAUUGAAUUGGAGGAAUAUUGAUCUGUUCAUUGUUUGAAUUUUUUUUUUUUAUAACAAGUUUGUUUUUCUGAUCAUUUCUGCUGUAAACUUCAUGAGAGAUUAAUUUCUCUGAAUGCAAUGAAAAACUGAAUUUGUUC